GAUGAAGAACGCAGCGAAAUGCGAUAAGUAGUGUGAAUUGCAGAAUUCAGUGAAUCAUCGAAUCUUUGAACGCACAUUGCGCCCCUUGGUAUUCCAUGCGGCAUGCCUGUUCGAGCGUCAUUUGUACCUUCAAGCUCUGCUUGGUGUUGGGUGUUUGUCUCGCCUCUGCGUGUAGACUCGCCUUAAAACAAUUGGCAGCCGGCGUAUUGAUUUCGGAGCGCAGUACAUCUCGCGCUUUGCACUCAUAACGACGACGUCCAAAAGUACAUUUUUACACUCUUGACCUCGGAUCAGGUAGGGAUACCCGCUGAACUUAAGCAUAUCAAUAAGCGGAGGA
rnacentral:misc_RNA from 1 species